rnacentral:rRNA from 1 species
UACAGAGGUGGCAAGCGUUGUUCGGAAUUACUGGGCGUAAAGGGCGCGUAGGCGGUUCGUUAAGUCCUGUGUGAAAUCCCCCGGCUCAACUGGGGAACUGCACAGGAAACUAGCGGGCUUGAGUUCGGGAGAGGGAAGCGGAAUUCCGGGUGUAGCGGUGAAAUGCGUAGAUAUCCGGAGGAACACCGGUGGCGAAGGCGGCUUCCUGGACCGACACUGACGCUGAGGCGCGGAAGCUAGGGGAGCAAACGGG